rnacentral:misc_RNA from 1 species
CUCGCCUGGACACCUGGACAGAGCCUGGUUGAAAGCGCCUCGCUUGGAGGCUUCCCCCAUAUAAGACUAACUUUAGAGUCCAGAGUAAAGCAUCAUCUAAAACUCACUUAAACCCUUUUCAAUCAACUGUCUUCGUAAUAACUAGAACAAGUUUCCUCCAUUUAAGUAGUUCCAUGAAAGAUACGCAGCAAAUCAACUUUGAUUCAUUCCAACUGCUUUCCACCUUUUCCCUUGGGGGUUCUGUUGAUUUUUUUUUUUUUCUUUUUCAGAUGAGCUUCAAAAAGACCAUACACAUUUCACAAUACUUGUAAAAUCAAAACGAUCGACACAAAAAUUUCCAGUCAUCAAAAAAUAAGAUUAUGAACCCACCUUUCUUUUCACACAAAAUAGGGGUUUCAAUACUUUGAAGCUCUUGAAUCUUUUCCUUCCAUACUAUAAACAGAAGGGAAUGACAUUUCAUGCUCAUAUGCAUUGUUUUA